CCUACGGGAGGCAGCAGUGAGGAAUAUUGGGCAAUGGACGAGAGUCUGAACCAGCCAAGUAGCGUGAAGGAUGACUGCCCGAUGGGUUGUAAACUUCUUGUAUAUGGGAAUAAAAUGUGCCACGUGGGGGAUUUUGUAUGUACCAUAUGAAUAAGGAUAGGCUAACUCCGUGCCAGCAGCCGCGGUAAUACGUAGGAUCCGAGCGUUCUCCGGAUUUAUUGGGGUUAAAGGGAGCGUCGGGGGGUUGUUAAGUCAGUUGUGAAAGUUUGCGGCUCAACCGUAAAAUUGCAGUUGAGACUGGCAGUCUUGAGUACAGUAGCGGUGGGCCGCCUUCGUGGUGUAGCGG
rnacentral:rRNA from 1 species